rnacentral:tRNA from 1 species
UGCAUCGGCCGGGAAUCGAACCCGGGCCACCUGGCAGGCGAACAUUCUCGCCAUUGAACUACCGAUGC